GUGGUUAAGUUAAUAAGGGCACACGGUGGAUGCCUUGGCGUUAGGAGCCGAAGAAGGACGCAGCGAACUGCGAUAAGCCUCGGGGAGUGGUAAGCACACUUUGAUCCGGGGAUUUCCGAAUGGGGGAACCCACCAUCUGUAAUGGGAUGGUAUCCUUCACUGAAUACAUAGGUGAUGAGAAGGCAGACCCGGUGAACUGAAACAUCUAAGUAGCCGGAGGAAGAGAAAACAAUAGUGAUUCCGUCAGUAGUGGCGAGCGAACGCGGAAGAGCCUAAACCGUAGGAUUUAUCCUACGGGGUUGUGGGGCGUUUCAUAUAGGAGUUACAAAAGACAGAUGUAGGUGAACAGUUUGGGAAGACUGACCAAAGAGCGUGAUAGUCGCGUAACCCAAACAUCUGUCUCUCCGAGACCAACCCCGAGUAGCGCGGGACACGUGAAAUCCCGUGUGAAUCUGGCAGGACCAUCUGCUAAGGCUAAAUACUACCUAACGACCGAUAGUGAACCAGUACCGUGAGGGAAAGGUGAAAAGCACCCCGGGAGGGGAGUGAAAUAGUACCUGAAACCGUGUGCUUACAAAUAGUCGGAGCACUUUCUAUGUGUGACGGCGUGCCUUUUGUAGAAUGAACCGGCGAGUUACGAUAGCGUGCGAGGUUAAGUCGAAGAGACGGAGCCGCAGCGAAAGCGAGUCUGAAUAGGGCGAAAGUACGUUGUCGUAGACCCGAAACCGUGUGAUCUAGCCAUGUCCAGGGUGAAGGUAGGGUAACACCUACUGGAGGCCCGAACCCACGCACGUUGAAAAGUGCGGGGAUGAGGUGUGGCUAGCGGUGAAAUUCCAAUCGAACUCGGAGAUAGCUGGUUCUCCCCGAAAUAGCUUUAGGGCUAGCCUCGGAUUUAGAGUCUUGGAGGUAGAGCACUGAUUGGACUAGGGGCCCUCAUCGGGUUACCGAAUUCAGUCAAACUCCGAAUGCCAAGUACUUAUAUCCGGGAGUCAGACGGUGAGUGCUAAGAUCCAUCGUCAAAAGGGAAACAGCCCAGACCAUCAGCUAAGGCCCCCAAGUGUAUGUUAAGUGGGAAACGAUGUGGAGUUGCCCAGACAACCAGGAUGUUGGCUUAGAAGCAGCCACCAUUUAAAGAGUGCGUAAUAGCUCACUGGUCGAGUGACUCUGCGCGGAAAAUGUAACGGGGCUAAACAUACCGCCGAAGCUAUGGCAGUCCUUAUGGACUGGGUAGGGGAGCGUUCCAAGCAGCAGUGAAGCCGUAUCGUGAGGAGCGGUGGAGCGCUUGGAAGUGAGAAUGCCGGUGUAAGUAGCGAAAAGACAAGUGAGAAUCUUGUCCACCGAAAGCCUAAGGUUUCCUGGGGAAGGCUCGUCCUCCCAGGGUUAGUCGGGACCUAAGCUGAGGCCGAAAGGCGUAGGCGAUGGACAACUGGUUGAUAUUCCAGUACCACCUCUGUUCCGUUUGAGCAAUGGCGUGACGCAGGAGGAUAGGGUGAGCGGCCUAUUGGAUGGCCGUCUAAGCAGUAAGUGUGGUGUGUAGGCAAAUCCGCACACCA
rnacentral:rRNA from 1 species